UUUCUAUCAGGUAUCUAAUUUGCGUCAAAUGCUUUUCAGAAGUUAAUUUAGGGACAUUUCUGUUAACACUUACUUUUGAUUUUUAAUAAUUUUAAUGAGUUGUGUUGUUAGUGCAUAUGUGUAACAGAUCCGAAAUAAAAAAAUACUAGCAUGUAAUUUUCCAUUGCUUUAUCUGUGAAGUAAUUGGAUGUGGAGAUAUUGAAUAAAAACAUCUGAUAUAAAUAAAGUAAAGUUAUAAAAUAUGGUGGUGGGCAUAUUUCAUAUGAACCAGAG
rnacentral:misc_RNA from 1 species